UCGUAGUGGCGAACGCAUGAGUAACACGUAGGUAGCGUGCCAUAUAGUGUAAGAUACCCAGAGGAAACUAUAGCUAAUACCGGAUACGAGUCUUAGAGGCAUCUCUCGGAUGGGAAAGGGCAUUCAUAGCCCCGCUUUAAGAUGCACAUGCGGUGCAUUAGCUCGUGAGUGAGAUAACUAGCCCACCAAGGCUAGGAUGCGUAGCCGAUCUGAGAGGACGAACGGCCACACUGUAAGUCAGACACCAUCCUGACCCGUACGGGAGGCAGCAGUGGAGAAUAUUGCACAAUGGAGGAAACUCUGAUGCAGCGACGCCGCGUGAGCGAAGAAGGCCUUCGGGUUAUCAAGCUCUGUCCUUGGUGAAGAUAAUGACGGUAGCCAAGGAGGAGGCCCCGGCUAACUACGUGCCACACAGCCGCGUUAAUACGUAGGGGCGCGAGCGUUGUCCGGAAUUAUUGGGCGUAAAGGGUACGUAGCGCGUUUUUCUAAUUCAGCAGUUAAAGCGCGGGGUCUCACCCCAGUAAAGCCUGUUGAAACUGGAGAACUUGAGAGAUGGAGAGGAAAGUGGAAUUCCUAGUGUAGCGGUGAAAUGCGUAGAUAUUAGGAGGAACACCGAUGGCGAAGGCGACUUUCUGGACAUCAACUGACGCUGAGGUACGAAAGCGUGGGGAGCAAACAGGAUUAGAUACCCUGGUAGUCCACGCCGUAAACGAUGACAACUAGGUGUCGGGGGUCAAACCUCGGUGCCGUCGCUAA
rnacentral:rRNA from 1 species